rnacentral:rRNA from 1 species
CAUGGUUUUUUGAAUAUAAUUUAAGAUUUAAUCUGCUCAAUGAUUAGUUAAAUUGCCGCAGUAUUUUAACUGUGCAAAGGUAGCAUAAUAAUUAGUUUCUUGAUUAGAAGCUGGAAUGAAUGAUUGGACGAUAAAUUUACUGUCUCUUAUUAAUUGUUUUGUUAAUUUUAUUUUUAAGUUAAAAAGCUUAAAUUUUAUUAAAAGACGAGAAGACCCUAUAGAGUUUAAUAAUAUAAUUGAUGUAUUAAUGUGGUAAUUUCACAUUGUUUUUAUUAUUUGAUUGGGGUGAUCUAAAAAUUUUAUAAAUUUUUUAAAAGUUUAAUUUUUAAUUUGAAAAUCUAUAAUCUAAUUUUUUAAAUUUAAAAUAAAUUACCUUAGGGAUAACAGCGUAAUUUUUCUUUAAAGUUCUUAUUGAAAGAAAAGUUUGCGACCUCGAUGUUGGAUUAAAAUUAAUUUUAGG